rnacentral:sRNA from 1 species
ACUAGGGAUACUUCCCGACCCGGGUCAAUGAAAACAAACUAGAAUGAGCAAAUUCAAUCAAGAUGAGCGAAGCCCGUAACUUGUUCACCACCUUUGGCAUCCUGGCCAUCCUGCUUUUCUUCCUUUACCUCAUCUAUGCCGUAUUGUAAAAUGUUUCCGGCAAGUAGAUGGUCCUUAGCGGAACAAAAGCCAGCAGCCAAAUCAAACCAAUCAACAUGAAUGAGGCCAAAAGUUUGUUCACCACCUUCCUCAUCCUGGCCUUCCUGCUGUUCCUGCUCUACGCCUUCUACGAAGCCGCCUUCUAGGCCCACAUCCCCACCAUGAUCACCAUGACCACCAGUACCACCAC